AAGAGCUUUGCUGUCCUGGGUCAGCCUUUGCAUCUCUUCAGUGAUGGACAAGAGGACCCAUCGAACAGGGUCAUCCAGAUAGCAGAACUGCUGUCCCUGGAAUCAGAAGUAGGGGACUGGAUUCCCCUGCUCUCUGAGCCCCAGAGCUGCUGUCUGCAGAUACAGCAGAAUGCUCCUUCACCCCCAGGUUCCUGCAGAGCACAGUCAGGCUUCCUGGAAACCAGUAUUCUACUAACAGCCUUCAGAUGGUGAAGAACUCUCAGCUCCUCCUGCACCGUGCCUGCCUGGAUGCUGCCAUGCUCCUGCCUCAGUGAUAUGGACUGAACCUCUGAACCUAUUAGGACAGAAUUUCCAGCUGUUUCUGAAAUGAUCCUAAAUGGACUGCCAUUCGGUACUGCUGAUUUAUGCAAAGAGGCAUUGACCCUCAUAGACCCAAAAUAUCAAUCAACUCUGAAAAACGAAAAUGUUAUGUGCCCUGCAACAUCAAACAUUCAGCCAAGACUUAAUUCCUUGUGUUGAAAUAAACAAGUAUGCUCUUCUCAUUAGUAUGCAAAUUUUCUAUUGUGUUUAAUAAAUGGUAAAAUUAUCAAUGUUACAAAGAA
rnacentral:lncRNA from 1 species